AGUGCCUCCUCAGACGCCUUUCCUUUCUGCUCCGAUCCGGAGUCCAUGGUGCAUAAGCUUCUCCACUGUGAAUCCACAUGCGCCCGGUUUGAGAUGCAGUGUACAUGCUCCAGCUCAAUCCAGCGCUUUGCAACUCUAUCGCCGAGUCUUGGGGUAUAGAUAGACCAACAAAGAUCUGCACUUCCUUCAUCGUUGAUUUUCAGAAACGAGGAAGACUGGAAGAGUCACAUAUCGUCCUUGCACAAUGCUCCGUAACAUUGCGAGACUAUUCUAGCUGAUUGGGGAGUCAUGAUCUCUCACCUCGUGACUCACUUGUCCUCGCUUACGUUUAUACCCUGUUUCUUUUUUUGAGGAAUUUUUUUUUGUAUAGAUGAUAUUUCCUUCAGUUCCUAAAUUCUUGUCAACUGAGGGAGUAACUUUUUUUCGUUCUUGGUUAGGGUUCAGGCCGGCAGUUUGUCUGAGCCGGGACGGGAGCGAGGGUCCGCAGACAAAGAUCAGAACCGGAACAUGCGGCAACGGAAUUCGCGCCAGUUAAGCAACCAUACAACACCUCCCGGCGCCCCCGCCACAUGCUUGCAUAAAUACGUCGACCCCGAUCUGCCUUCCCAUGCCACCGAGCGGCAAAUUGGGUCGGGCAGGGUCCCGGCCGCGGCCGGCAGCAUAUAAUUGGAGGAGACACAGGGCCGGGAUACGGUUGAAACACGGCCGUGUCCCCGUGUGUGUGUGUCUCAUCUCCCUCUUCCUUGCUCGCCUCUAAAAAAAUGUUCCGUCACAAAAAUUGGCCGGGCAGCGUAUAGUUCUCGCGUUCAUAUCGCCCGCGAUGCAAUGCAAAGAGAUCCCCAGGACUUGAGAUCCAGAGACGCACGCGCUAGGUGAGACGAGAAUUGAGACCAUGAGAGAUGGCUUUGGUUCUUAAUGAUUUUUAUGGCCUGGUGGGUGGCCCAUGCAGUCAUGCUGUUCGUUGCUCAAUCACUGGAUAAUAUCGUGUCACUCCACUGUUUGAGUUCUCCUGCCCAACUAACUUUUAACUCCUUGGUGAUCAUGAUGGCGGCACCCAUCUGUCCUCUUGGUGUGGACUUGUGGUAUUAAAUUUCUUCUCUGAUGAUGAUGAAACUGAGAAUCCACGGGUCUGAACUCCUCGUCAAAACUAGUAGUACGGAGUAGUUCCGUUGUUCUUGGUACUCUGUACUCUAGGCCCUGGAUUCUUGCCUUUACGGUCUGAUGAAGUAUUAGUACUAUCCCAGAUUCUACCUCCGGGCUCGACGACACAUUGCAGGAAGCAGGCUACGGCACCGCGAGCAAGUUGGUGACGAAACUUUCCGAUUUGGUGAUUGUUCAGAGUAUUCCAAGAUCGAAAUUGGGGACAUUGACAACAUAAGCGAUGGGAGAGCAGAUAUAUCAGAAGCUG